GGUCAAGCUACAAAGGGCGCAUGGUGAAUGCCUUGGCACCAGAAGCCGAAGAAGGACGCGAUAAGCUGCGAUAAGCUUUGGGUAGGCGCAAAUAGCCAGUGAUCCAGAGAUUUCCGAAUGGGGCAACCCACAUUACUAACGUAAUGUACUGUAAACUGAAUUCAUAGGUUUAUAGAGGUAUACCCGGGGAACUGAAACAUCUAAGUACCCGGAGGAAGAGAAAGAAAAAUCGAUUUUCUAAGUAGCGGCGAGCGAAAGGGAAAGAGCCCAAACCAGGAACUUGUUCCUGGGGUUGCGGAUAGACCAUAAAUACUGCAAUUUUUUAACUGAAGAGAGCUGGAAGGCUCCGCCGUAGAAGGUAAAAGCCCUGUAAGUGAAAAGAAAAAGCAGUCAGGUCUAAUCCAGAGUACCACGAGACACGUGAAACCUUGUGGGAAGCAGGGAGGACCACCUCCCAAGGCUAAAUACUAACUGGUGACCGAUAGUGAAGCAGUACCGUGAGGGAAAGGUGAAAAGAACCCCGGAAGGGGAGUGAAAUAGAACCUGAAACCGUGUGUCCACAAUCAGUCGAAGCACUUUUAUGUGCGACGGCGUGCUUUUUGUAGAACGAGCCAGCGAGUUACGAUGUGUAGCAAGGUUAAAUACUUAAGGUAUGGAGCCGAAGGGAAACCGAGUCUGAAUAGGGCGAAAAGUUGCAUGUCGUAGACCCGAAACCGGGUGACCUAUCCAUGGACAGGUUGAAGCGGAAGUAAAAUUCCGUGGAGGACCGAACCACGUUGGUGUUGAAAAACCAUGGGAUGAGCUGUGGAUAGCGGAGAAAUUCCAAUCGAACUCGGAGAUAGCUGGUUCUCCUCGAAAUAGCUUUAGGGCUAGCGUUUUGAAUGAGUAAUGGAGGUAGAGCACUGAAUGGGCUAGGGGCUGACAACAGUUACUGAACCCUAUCAAACUCCGAAUGCCAUAUACUUGAAUCAAAGCAGUCAGACUACGAAUGAUAAGAUCCGUGG
rnacentral:ncRNA from 1 species